AAGUCGUAACAAGGUUUCCGUAGGUGAACCUGCGGAAGGAUCAUUAACAAAUCAAUUGUGCUACGAUGGGGGAAACCCGGUCGUAUGCAUAUAAACCCGAACCCGUGCAGCAAUGCCGGGCUAGGUGUGUGCACUAAUCACAGCAAUGUGGAUAUAUUAGUGUGCACGGCCGAGAGUAAGUGCGCAAGUGCUUACCCAAAGCCAAAUAGACGCUUGUAUGUUUUGACAGAUCUAGUUGACAACACAAAAUUGACAACUUUUAACAAUGGAUCUCUUGGCUCUU
rnacentral:misc_RNA from 1 species